rnacentral:rRNA from 1 species
GUAGGGAAUAUUGGGCAAUGGAGGCAACUCUGACCCAGCCAUGCCGCGUGCAGGAUGACGGCCCUCUGGGUUGUAAACUGCUUUUAUUCGGGAAUAAACCUCUUUACGUGUAGGGAGCUGAAGGUACCGAAGGAAUAAGCACCGGCUAACUCCGUGCCAGCAGCCGCGGUAAUACGGAGGGUGCAAGCGUUAUCCGGAAUCAUUGGGUUUAAAGGGUCCGCAGGCGGGCUAUCAAGUCAGAGGUGAAAUCCCACAGCUUAACUGUGGAACUGCCUUUGAAACUGAUGGUCUUGAAUUAAGUGGGCGUUGGCGGAAUAUGACAUGUAGCGGUGAAAUGCAUAGAUAUGUCAUGGAACACCGAAAGCGAAGGCAGCUAACGAUACUUAUAUUGACGCUCAUGGACGAAAGCGUGGGUAGCGAACAGGAUUAGAAACCCCAGUAGUCC